AUUGAACGCUGGCGGCAUGCCUUACACAUGCAAGUCGAACGGCAGCACGGGAGCAAUCCUGGUGGCGAGUGGCGAACGGGUGAGUAAUGUAUCGGAACGUACCUUUCAGUGGGGGAGUAACGUAGCGAAAGUUACGCUAAUACCGCAUAUUCUGUGAGCAGGAAAGCAGGGGAGUCGCAAGACCUUGCGCUGAUUGAGCGGCCGAUAUCAGAUUAGCUAGUUGGUGAGGUAAAGGCUCACCAAGGCGACGAUCUGUAGCGGGUCUGAGAGGAUGAUCCGCCACACUGGAACUGAGACACGGUCCAGACUCCUACGGGAGGCAGCAGUGGGGAAUUUUGGACGAAUGGGCGGCAAGACCUGAUCCAGCCAUGCCGCGUGAGUGAAG
rnacentral:rRNA from 1 species